rnacentral:rRNA from 1 species
GAUGAACGCUAGCGACAGGCUUAACACAUGCAAGUCGAGGGGCAUCACGGGAGUAGCAAUACAACUGGUGGCGACCGGCGCACGGGUGAGUAACGCGUAUGUAACCUACCUAUCAGAGGGGAAUAACCCGGCGAAAGUCGGACUAAUACCGCAUAAAACAGGGGCACCGCAUGGUGAUAUUUGUUAAAGAAAUUCGCUGAUAGAUGGGCAUGCGUUCCAUUAGGUAGUUGGUGAGGUAACGGCUCACCAAGCCGACGAUGGAUAGGGGAACUGAGAGGUUGGUCCCCACACUGGUACUGAGACACGGACCAGACUCCUACGGGAGGCAGCAGUGAGGAAUAUUGGUCAAUGGGCGGGAGCCUGAACCAGCCAAGUCGCGUGAAGGAAGAAGGAUCUAUGGUUCGUAAACUUCUUUUGCAGGGGAAUAAAGUGCAGGACGUGUCCUGUUUUGUAUGUACCCUGAGAAUAAGGAUCGGCUAACUCCGUGCCAGCCGCCGCAGUAAAAC